GAAAUGCGAUAAGUAAUGUGAAUUGCAGAAUUCAGUGAAUCAUCGAAUCUUUGAACGCACCUUGCGCUCCUUGGUAUUCCUUGGAGCAUGCCUGUUUGAGUAUCAUGAAAUCUUCAAAGUAAAUCUUUUGUUAACUCAAUUGGUUUCUACUUUGGUAUUGGAGGUCUUUGCAGCUUCACACCUGCUCCUCUUUGUUCAUUAGCUGGAUCUCAGUGUUAUGCUUGGUUCCACUCGGCGUGAUAAGUUAUCUAUCGCUGAGGACACUGUAAAAGGUGGCCAAGGUAAAUGCAGAUGAACCGCUUCUAAUAUUCCAUUGACUUGGACAAUACUUUUAUGAUCUGAUCUCAACUCAGGUAGGACUACCCGCUGAACUUAAGC
rnacentral:misc_RNA from 1 species